rnacentral:rRNA from 1 species
UACGGAGGGUGCGAGCGUUGCUCGGAAUCACUGGGCGUAAAGGGCGUGUAGGCGGGGAGGAAAGUCAGAUGUGAAAUCCCCAGGCUCAACCUGGGAACUGCAUUUGAAACUCCCUUUCUUGAGUAUCGGAGAGGAAAGCGGAAUUCCUGGUGUAGAGGUGAAAUUCGUAGAUAUCAGGAGGAACACCAGCGGCGAAGGCGGCUUUCUGGACGAUAACUGACGCUGAGACGCGAAAGCGUGGGGAGCAAACAGG